rnacentral:rRNA from 1 species
CACGUAGGGCGCGAGCGUUGUCCGGAAUUAUUGGGCGUAAAGAGCUCGUAGGCGGCCUGUUGCGUCCGCUGUGAAAGCCCGGGGCUUAACCCCGGGUCGGCAGUGGAUACGGGCAGGCUAGAGGCAGGUAGGGGAGAAUGGAAUUCUCGGUGUAGCGGUGAAAUGCGCAGAUAUCGGGAGGAACACCGGUGGCGAAGGCGGUUCUCUGGGCCUUACCUGACGCUGAGGAGCGAAAGCGUGGGGAGCGAACCGG